CGAAAUGCGAUAAGUAAUGUGAAUUGCAGAAUUCAGUGAAUCAUCGAAUCUUUGAACGCACCUUGCGCUCCUUGGUAUUCCUUGGAGCAUGCCUGUUUGAGUAUCAUGAAAUCUUCAAAGUAAAUCUUUUGUUAACUCAAUUGGUUUCUACUUUGGUAUUGGAGGUCUUUGCAGCUUCACACCUGCUCCUCUUUGUUCAUUAGCUGGAUCUCAGUGUUAUGCUUGGUUCCACUCGGCUUGAUAAGUUAUCUAUCGCUGAGGACACUGUAAAAGGUGGCCAAGGUAAAUGCAGAUGACCCGCUUCUAAUAGUCCAUUGACUUGGACAAUACUUUUAUGAUCUGAUCUCAAAUCAGGUAGGACUACCCGCUGAACUUAAGC
rnacentral:misc_RNA from 1 species